rnacentral:rRNA from 1 species
GUAGGGAAUAUUGCACAAUGGAGGAAACUCUGAUGCAGCGACGCCGCGUGAGUGAUGAAGGCCUUCGGGUCGUAAAGCUCUGUCGCAGGGGAAUAACACAAUGAAGGUACCCUGUAAGAAAGGAUCGGCUAACUUCGUGCCAGCAGCCGCGGUAAGACGAGGGAUCCUAGCGUUGUUCGGAAUCAUUGGGCGUAAAGCGGAUGUAGGUGGCUAUGUAAGUCAGAUGUGAAAGCCUGGGGCUCAACCCCAGAAGUGCAUUUGUUACUGCGUAGCUUGAGUGUCGGAGAGGUUACUAGAAUUGUUGGUGUAGUGGUGAAGUACGUAGAUAUCAACAGGAAUACCGGAGGCGAAGGCGGGUAACUGGCCGAACACUGACACUGAGAUCCGAAAGCGUGGGGAUCAAACAGGAUUAGAAACCCUAGUAGUCC